rnacentral:rRNA from 1 species
AUUGAACGCUGGCGGCAGGCCUAACACAUGCAAGUCGAGCGAGCGGCGGACGGGUGAGUAAUGUAUGGGGAUCUGCCCGAUAGAGGGGGAUAACUACUGGAAACGGUAGCUAAUACCGCAUACUAUCGGAUGAACCCAUAUGGGAUUAGCUAGUAGGUGAGGUAAUGGCGCACCUAGGCGACGAUCCCUAGCUGGUCUGAGAGGAUGAUCAGCCACACUGUGAAUGAGACACGUCCCAGAGUCCUUCGUGAGGCAGAAGUGGGGAAUAUUGAACAAGGGGCGCAAGCCUGAUGCAGCCAUGCCGCGUGUAUGAAGAAGGCCUUCGGGGUGUAAAGUACUUUCAGCGGGGAGGCGUUACCCGCAGAAGAAGCACCGGCUGACUCCGUGCCAGCCGCCGCGGUAAUAC